rnacentral:rRNA from 1 species
GUCCACGCCCUAAACGAUGGAUACUAAGUAGGGGCUUCUGCAAGGAAGUCCCUGCCGGAGCGAAAGCGUUAAGUAUCCCGCCUGGGGAGUAUGGUCGCAAGGCUGAAACUCAAAGGAAUUGACGGGGCUCACACAAGCGGUGGAGCAUGUUGCUUAAUUCGAUGCAACGCGAAGAACCUUACCCGGGCUCGAAGCGCACGGAUUAGUUUUGUGAAAGCAGAAUGACACUCGCAAGAGUGGAACGUGUGUAGGUGUUGCAUGGCUGUCGU